UAAGACAGUAGAUAGAAUAAAUAUUAGAUAAUAUAAAUAUGAGAGUUUUCUUACAGCCUUAAUCUGUCAUUGUUUCGUUUCAGACAAUUUUGGAAGCCUGAAGUGGGUUCAUUUUAAGUUUCCAUAUGUUAAGAUAUGUUCAGUGUUGCUGCUGUGGAAGUGUUGUGGUUGACUUUUUAUUGAUGCAGGUCUAAUCAUUCUUUAAGAGGUUCUCUAGACCAUGCAACUUUUUAAGUUCCUACGUCAGGUUUUGGUAAAGAGUUGGAAGCCUUGUGCAGCUGAGAUCCAUUCCACGGAGUGAUACCAAUCUACACGUUCCAGACGUUUUUCCAGAGCUUUGUGGAUUCCCAGUCUAGGUGGCUGGGUGGCGAGCCAACCGUGUUUGUGACUCUGACUUUAGACGGAUUGCCAGGAUCUUCCUCAUCUUCAUGGUGGUAGGACAAACACUAACACAAACUUAAAAGGGCCCCAACGGUGAGAAAUGAACUCUUGUCAAUAAAGGCAAGUGGAACUAAGGACGAACUGAGCUCAACGAAGUUAAAAGGAAAGUUUUUUUUGUGCGCACUUUAUUAUUUUAGUUUGUUAUUUUUCAUACCUGCUUUCUUAUGUAUGUACCAUCCCUGUGUAUUUAAUACACUUAAUGCAAACUGUCAUUCGGGUGUGGUAUUCUUUUUAUUGACAUUCAAUUCUCAGGCUCUUAACAAUUUAGUGACUUCUGAUUCUGGUCCACAUUGAUGAUAAGACUACUUUAGACUAUUACACCUAUGUACAUUAUUACUACCUCGUGAUAAGGGUUACACCAUUCUUUCUCACCCUUCUCUGUCCUUUUUACUUGUGUCCUGUUUUUCAGGGUCCCAUCAUAAUUUCUUAAGAAGCUGCCAUGUUAAAAAAAAUAUUUUGUGCCGCCAUGCUGUUUGUUGAUGUGGUAAAUAAAUAGUUUAUGAAAAUACCACUAAA